rnacentral:tRNA from 1 species
GGUUCCAUGGUGUAAUGGUUAGCACUCUGGGCUUUGAAUCCAGUGAUCCGAGUUCGAGUCUCGGUGGAAGCU